UUGGCACUUUUUCAGAAACAAAGCCCCACCUGAAAAGUGAGGAAGGAAAAAGCAGCAGAACAACGACCUGAUCCUGCAAACCUGUAGGUUUGCACAAGUGACAAGUCCUCUUCAGGUUCUUAGACCAAGCCAACUACUCUGGGAUCCUAGUAACCAGUGAUGGAAAGAGUGUCUCACUUGAGGAUCAAUUGAAUUGUGAACUGUGAAGAAAUGACAAAACAACACUGGGCCACAUUAUCACGAUACAAAGAAGUCCCAAGAAGCCAUGGCUGGUGAGAGAGGGAAUGUUCAUCAUCUUUUGCUGUAGAUCAGAUGACAUAUGGCUGUUGAAAAAGAAGACCAUUUCAGAACUUGGUGACUUCACCUGUCAAAUGACCACACUAGGUGGCUAUGAUUGGAUAUUUGUGGCAUAUGUCUUAGUCUCUGAUUGGUUAGCAGAUAUUGAUUGCAUGGGAAGCAGUGGGCUCAUCUACCUGUGCAAUUAAAGUGCCUGCAUAUUCUUUUCAGAAAAUUCAGGCUCGUUAAAAGUUCUGGCAUACAUGUACCCAUCAGAAGCAAAUAGCACCUGAUAGGAGCAGUUUAGUCCAGGGCUGCUCCUGCCCUGUUCUGUCCUCCUGCAGCAGCCAGGGGGAGCUCCAAGCUCCCCCGGGUACCAAUCCUAGGGCUGGCAAGGGGCACAGAGGAUGCUCCCUAUCCCCACAUGGCCUGGAGAACUGUCUCCCUCAGUGGGGAUGCUAUCUACCAUACUGCCUGCCAGCUGCAUGUCUACCCCUCCUGAUCCCCACCUGGCUGGCAGGGAGCCUCUCUGCCUAGGUGGGAAUAACUCUCCCAGCCAUGUGGGGAUCAGGAAGGUCCUGAUCCCCAUGUGGCUGGCAGAGAGCAUCCUGCUGAGCUGAGACAUCUCUCCCCACCCCUUGUGGAAACCUGCCAGCUAAGCUGACCAGGAGUAAUUUGCUCCUAGUCAACAUCUACACAUUCACUACUGCUCAGUAGCUAAUAUGUCAUUAAUUUACACCUAUUUUUGUUGGUACUAGCAAAUGGCUCAUUAGCCUAGUUUACUGCACAGUAAGGCCCCUACACGUGUAGGCACUAGCACUUUACUAUGCAUUAGAUUAGUCUAAUGUGCAGUAAAGUGUCUUGUGUAGUCACACCCAGUGAGUUACAGCCACUAUGGAGAAUAGUGGGCAAUAGCCAUUAUACUCUGGGACAAAUAUGAGACAUAUCCAAGUUUUUGAAGCUUUUCUAUGAAUUAAAACAGUUAUGAAUAUUCAUACAUAAUGAAUCCAGAAGUAACAAUGGCUUGGGUAAUAUUUGAAAAUUCAUACAAAUUUGGUAACAAUUUUUGGAAGGAAUUAAAAAAUUGGAAAAAAAACAAAAAAGGCAAAAACUUUUUUACAUGUUCAGAAUAACAUAUUUCUAUUUUUUGGUUCAAAAUUACAUUGUGGAUUUCAAAGAGAAUUAGGUAGUUACAUGAUUUAGAAAAUGCCCAUAGGUACCUAAUACGAAUUCAGGAAACAAAAUACCUUGAUAAAUGUAGACAUUGCUCCCCAUCUGCAUUGGGAACCAUUAUUUUAGACAUUCUAGAUGCAGAGUAAAAGACAGCUGCUACCACAAAGAGUUUACAACAUAAAGCUGCAACCCCACAAAGACUUAUACAGCACAAGUUGCUACCACAUAAGCUAUCAAUGGGAUGACUCACAAUACAUCAAAUUAAACACACAAAUGAAUCUGAGCAGGAUGAGGAACUAAGAAUAGACAUUUUAAAAGAGAAAUUACAAUCUAUGAUGUUAGCAUAUUCAAUAUAUUUUAUAGAAUGAACACACACAUAUCAAUUGCUUUUGAUACAGUCCUCUUGGAAAUGACUACAAAAAAUUAAAGAAAAUAAAAAUGUCAGAAUUUCUCUUUUGUUUGUUACCAGGUUUUAGUCUUAAAUGUGUUAAGAUUGUGUUAGAGUUUUCAUUCUUAAAUCUGAGAUUUUCACCUUUCAACUAUAUUGAACGUAUAUUAAUGUUUAUUCGAGAUCCCAGCUGCUGUUGCUUUCCCUGGCAGAGAUCUAAGAAGAGGCAUCUCUCCUUGUUAUGACUGUUGAGCUACACCAGGCUUUCCCAGAUGAUCAUCCUUUUUCAGAUCUUUCCUCCAAAGAUAAGAUACUGUAAGUUUGGUGUACCCAUAAACCAGUUCACUGGGGAAGUAAAUUUGUCCACAGGGAUAAGAUCAUGGAGAAGGGAAAAAUCCACAGAGACAGUAGCAGAGAAAAUGGGCAAGCAGAUUUACAGAAGUCAAAUGUGUGUACCUAUUCUUAAUGACCAGAAUUCACUGGUUUGCUGUAGUCUGUGUCUGUAAUGCAAGAGAGGGUAUGAAAUCAUCUUUAGUCAAAGAAAUUUGGUUCAGGGCUGUGUGGUAACAAGGAUCAAUAAUUCUGUUACAUAAGUUGACCAGAAAGAUACUUUUACACUGUUUCCUUUCAGAUGCUUAUUAUCAGCAACGACAGAAUUUAUGACUCCCUCCCGCCCCUCCCUGCCCUUUCCUUUCAGUUCAAGACAAUAGUGCAGGAUCCUAGGCACCUUGUUCUGCAGGCCCCAGGGAGGAAGUGACAGAAGGCUUGCCUUAUUUACCUUAGUCGUUUCCCCAUGUAAUCUGGUUAAUCAUGUGGCUAAUCGACGACACGGAGGAUCCCCCCCCCACACUGUGUCCUACAAUGGCAACUCAUUCAUAUUUAAUACAAUAGAGCAUUUAAGUCAUUCCAUGCUCUGCCAAGAAGAUUGGGUCUUCUUUGUUUUGUUGCUCUGGGGAGGGUUCUCUUACUCCACCCCUUCUUUCAAAUAGGCAUAUGUUCCGGCUCUUGCCUGCUGCAGCUGGACAAGAAAAGAGCUAUUAUUUUUUGUUUUGUUUUUUUUUAAACCAAUGAAUUGAUGGCUGUGGUUUGAAGCGUGGGUUAAAACAGUCCCCACAUGUAUGCAUACAUUAGCCAUUUGCUAUGUUACUACUUCACAGCGAGGUGACCUAAGAGACAGCAGCGUUGCUGUUCUCCCCAGUCUGGCUGGACAAUCUGUUGAGCACAAAAGAAAAAAAUUUAAAAGAAGAGUCAAAGAUUGACUGCAUAUAUUUAAAAAUGGUUUGCAAUUCCAUGCAGAAGCUUUCCACAUGGAAAAGGUAAGCCUAUAUCCUAAUGUACAAUACUCAAAGAUAGCUCACACACACACUCCAUUACAGCGGAGAAUAGAAAUCGGAAAUCUAUGCAAAAUUAUAGAUUUGAACACUGGCUUCAAACUACAUUACCAUGACACAGAUAUGAGGUCAUAGCUGACACGUUACAACAUACAACUCUACUUGAUUUCUUCACCGCUCACAAGGUGUUGAUCUCAAUAGGGUUGCAUAGAUUAUAGGGUUUGAUCCUGCCCUCAAACAAAUCUCUAGCAAAGCUCCCAGUAACCUCACCAGAGAGAAUACAUCUGGCCCCUUCACUUUAUUCUAUAAAUACAGUAAAGUACUAGAGAAUUAAUAAGAGUUUCAGAGGCAUAACUGGUCAGUACUGCACCCUUGGCAGAAGUGGCCAGAAAUUUGUUACUGUAGGGAGAGGGGACGGGAAUGUCACUUCCUCUUUUUGCUGCAGACACAUGUGUUGAGAAGCCAUUUAAACAUCAAUUUUUGGCAGCAAAAAAUAAAUAAAUAAAAAGAUCUGACAUCUUCCUCUGCAGUAGCAAACUUGACCUUGUGCCACUGCUACAGUAGUGCCCUCCAUGCUACCACGGCCAGAGCAGCUUCAGAGAAAGUGUAGGGCACGGAGGGGGAAGGACAGGGGAUAGAAGGGUGAAGUGCCCCCUUAGAGCCAUUGUAGUGCCCUUUAGACACCGCCCAGGGUUCAUGCCCUACUUGCCCACCCAUCUACUUGCCCACCAUCUGUAGAGUAGACUCUUCCACUGCUAGGUUACAUGUUUUUGACCAACUCAGGGUGAUAAUUACAAGAAGUAAAGUUCCCCAGAGUUUAUUUUUAAGCUUCUCUGAAAUUGGUUUGUGGUUCUAGUAUCAUUGAUACACUGAGAAACGAUACAUCAUAGAAACUUCCAUGAGGCUCAGCAUUAGAUGUCUAUGUUUGCAAUCUCAAAUACAAAUGCUCAAGAAUGAAUGAAGUUGUAGGCCACAGAAUAUGAAACCUCCAUGGGCCCAAGGUAAAGAAAAAUUUAAAAUGGUGUGGAUAAACUAGUACUGCUUCUAGUUAUUCUGAAAAUGUCUCGCUAAUCCGAUACCAUUUACCAGCAUCUUCUUAAAACUUUAAGGGUUAUUAAAUUCCAGUUAUGAAAAUAUUUGUUUAGUGGUAGAUAACCAUUCGGCAGUGGUUUAAGAGAAUGCAACUCUACUGUCUUAACAACGUUGCUUAAAUUUAUAUCAGUAAAUGACUCAGUUCUCAAAACUUCUUGGACUCUUUUCUCACAUUUGAAUUGGCCUGUGCUAUGCAGAACAAUCCCUUUUCACAGUUUGAAAAAAAAUGUUUUUCACUUCAGUCCUGUUUGCCCAGAUUCUGUAAAUAUAUAUAUAUAUUUUUUGCAUGAAGCAUUACAUAGUAUUUGUACAGCACUUAACAAACAUGAGUGUUAUUCAGUGAUAUACUUCAGUUGAAAGGAAAUCUCUUCAUAAACAUCUUGAUAUAGUAACAGCUGCGUUCU